CGGAGCUUGACGAAGUCGCUCGAACUUACGGCCAUUGACCUCAAACAACCGCGCGUUGCUGGCUUUAGUUCGUUUUAACACUCAUACAUAUGUACUUACACAUACACAUAUAUACACCACUUCUCUCUGUAUACUCUAUUUAACACAAUACAUACAUUUUAUCAUACUAUAUAACAACUAUACUCUUUACUCUAUCAGUAUAUUUCACUUACGCUACACAUCCAAUAAAAAUACCUAACCUAACACCACCAUACAGUAUCAAGAUCUGAGGGUCGUACAUGUUCGAAGCAACGUGUUAAUGUCAUAUCACUACAUUGCUAAUCGUAAUCGAUAAUCUGCCAUGAAUGCUAAUGUCAGCGAUACACAAGAAGUGCUGUCCUACGUUCAAGCUCACCUGCUGACACGUAGGAAAUGUAGAAAAAAAAAAAAAAGAAAAAAAAAAUUUUGAACUGUUCAAAAUAAUUUUUCUUUGUGUUUUAGUUCACAACACUGAAAAUCAUCACUGAACUGACAACAGUUAGACGAUUAUGAUGAGUUGUAAUGAUAAUGAUGCUGAGAAAUUUUUUGUUUAAGAACGUCAUCCUGUGUGCCUAAAAUAAGAAACAAAAUAUUUGUGACACUCCCGUUUAAACUUAUUAUAAUAAAUUACAUCACCCAGAGAAGAUAACAUUGAAUUAAAAAAUUUACAAGAGGGAAAUUUAAUCACGGAAAUAAAAUAAUAAAUAUACUAGUAAUAAUAAUAAUAAUAUUUAGUUUUCACUUUUAAAUUCUUCCUGCACUCACUCUCAAUUCUCAGUUGCCGUCUAGGUCGUGUUCAUUCCCGUUCUCAUUCCCGUUAGUGUUACCGUAGCCACUCGCUGCCGUAUCGCCACGGUAACAUGUUUUCUCGGACGGCACGUGCAACCGGCUUCUCUUUUAUACAUUCACGAGACGCCUUCAACCUCUACACAGAUUUAAUGAUGGUUAGUGGAUAGUGACACAAACGAGAUCGACAUAUCUACGGUGUAAUUAUUUUAUGUUCACCACGAUUGUCAUCAACGAAUUUUAUUCAAUAAUAAUAACUCUCAGAAGAGAUUCACUAGUGUAACAUCAUCAGUAAUAUCAGGAACAGCAGUAAAACAUUGUACACAUUAAUCGGAGUCACCACCGCGAGCACCUUGGCCACCUCCACGGUACCGCGUGCAAAAAAAAGAAAGAAAAGGUAAAAAGAGAGAGACUAUUAUAUCACAUUGUUCACCGUACGACAACGUCAGGAAAGAUUUCACUAUUACAAACUUACUAUACAGGGAAAGCUGUGUACUCACACGUUAUAUCAAAGUAGUGACUUUCGUCUAACACACAACUACUUCAAGGUGGGAAAGUGAAAAAAGAACACUGUUUAUUACACUGUGAUAGUUGUCGCGGUAUCAAGUUAAGAAACGCACACGAGGUACGAACGCGGAACGAGCAGCCUAGCGUUCUAGCAGCCGGCAGCGAGCCGCUGAGGUCAAUGACCUCUCCUUGCCGUCGUCGAGCUCUCCUCCGCUGGCUCGCCCCACUCUAGCAAAUAACCAUCUGCCCCACCUCGUGAAACCCACCCGCGGAGCGCCCUCUUUGUACAUCAUCGUUGUUACCCUACGUCGAUCCUGCUUCAAUCGCCCUUGCCCUUUAUCCCCCAUUGAAAUCUAUAAAUUUAUUAACAUUAUUUCUCAAUUACAUCAACUUAUAAUUUUAACAUUAUUUCAAUUCAUUACUAUACAUUUCAUUAAUAGAUUGCAAUAUCUUUAAAUUUAUUAAAAAAUAAAUACUCAAAUAAAAGUUGGAAAAGAAUUUUGUUUUUUAAAAUUAAACGGGUGAUAAAUGAUAAAGAUACGGUCCUGUCUCCCACCCUUGGAUGUCACUGCUCCCACUGUUACUGGCGUUCCUCCCCACCAGUCAAUAUGUCUCAUCCCCUCGCGUGUAUCCGUUAUCCCUGCUACGCUGAUAAUAUACCCAAAGACCCGGAGGGGUGCUAUUGCGCAGGGUGUAGUGGGGAAUCUAACGGCGGGUUCACUAGUACAGUGUACCCUUGCGGUGCAAUGCUCUCUUCCUGAUUUCACUAUCCACCCCCUUUACUGCUUAUUUCCUUUACUCAUCUGUUUCUCCUCACAUACGGAUUUUAAAUAGAUUAUUUCAACGUUGACAAUUGUCAUUGAAAGUAUUUACGAUCGUUAAAAACAUACUGAUGUAAACUGACCUAUGCUAUAGCCAUUGGCAUCCAUACUAUAAGCUGCAUGUUGCAAUCGAUUCACUUAAUUUUAGAAAAUAUCUGCAUCUAUUUAGAUUUCUUCAUUUUAUUUUACUUUCUAUUAAUAUAUUGCA